rnacentral:lncRNA from 1 species
AUGGAUGCAGGCUCAUCACUGGAGGGAACUAUAGAUCUACGAGAGGAGGAGAUGGAACAGUCUGUCUCAGGUCUGACGUUCACCCUGGACCCCUCUGCUGCUGCUCCAUCCCUCCAUCUCUCCACCUCUUCUCUCACUGUGACGUUCCACGGACCAAGCCCUCCGCCACUACCCUCUCGCCAUCAUGGAAACAGGGUCACAGGGUCAGUAACAAGCACUGAAUCCCAGGAGUCUGCCCCCCAUCCCCUCCCUCAGGUGUGUGGGGACGUGGUCAUCAUCAGGGGUCAGUUCUACUGGGAGGUGGACGUAUGCAACAGCACCCUCUACAGGAUAGGAGUGAGCUCAUUGGACGAUGCUUGCGGCUGGUGGCUGGAAAGGCGGGGCUUGUCCUUCUCCACUGUGUAUGAUAGCCGUCGGGAGCCCUUACGUGCCGUGCCACCCCAGAUCAAGACCCUAGGGCUGUUCCUCAACAUGGGUGGAGGGACGUUGAGCUUCCACAACCCUCUGACCCAGGAGCACCUGGCCACCCUACCCACUCGCUUCAGCCAUGCUGGGGUACGUCCCGCUCUGGGGCUGGGCCAGGGCAGGCUGAGGCUCCACUGUGGCCUACCCCCUCCACCCCACGUCUUUCUCAGCCGAGCAUCUGACUAUAGAGGGCCCACUGGAGCUGGUGGGGGUCGCUGGCGCAGAGACAUGCCCUUCCGGUCUGUACGGAUGGUCAUCCAGAAGUUUGAGGAGCUGGCGGUGUCAGAUUCUGACUCAGGGCUGGUGUCCAGUUUUGGGUCAUCCUGCUCCACUCUGGCCGAACCAGGCCCAGGCCUCAGCUUCAGCCUCAGCCCAGGAGCAGCUCUCCAUUCUGGGAAAGAGGGAAAGGAGGCGGGGGCAGAGUGA